GUUUAGCCCGGAUAGCAGUGGAAAUCCUUUUCUUUUUUUCUUCAGAAAAAGAAAAGAUUGAAACGUAUAGCCGGAAUAGCU
rnacentral:sRNA from 1 species